rnacentral:rRNA from 1 species
GGUGGGGAGCAAACAGGAUUAGAUACCCUGGUAGUCCNCNCNGUAACCGAUGAAUACUUAGGUGUAGGAGGGUAUCGACUCCUUUUUGUGCCGCAGUUAACCCCAUUAAGUAUUCCNGCNUGGGGAGUNCGAUCGCAAGAUUAAAACUCAAAGGAAUUGACGGGGGCCCGCACAAGCAGCGGAGCAUGUGGUUUAAUUCGAAGCAACGCGAAGACCCUUACCUAGACUUGACAUCUCCUGCAUUACUCUUAACAGAGGAAGUCCUUCGGGACAGGAUGACAGGUGGUGCAUGGUUGUCGUCAGCUCGUGUCGUGAGAUGUUGGGUUAAGUCCCGCAACGAGCGCAACCCUUAUCAUUAGUUGCUACCAUUAAGUUGAGCACUCUAGUGAGACUGCCCGGGUUAACCGGGAGGAAGGUGGGGAUGACGUCAAAUCAUCAUGCCCCUUAUGUCUAGGGCUACACACGUGCUACAAUGGUAGGUACAACAAGAUGCAAUACCGUGAGGUGGAGCUAAACUCAAAAACCUAUCCCAGUUCGGAUUGUAGGCUGAAACUCGCCUACAUGAAGCCGGAGUUGCUAGUAAUCGCGAAUCAGCAUGUCGCGGUGAAUACGUUCCCGGGCCUUGUACACACCGCCCGUCACACCAUGAGAGCCGAUAACACCCGAAGUCCGUGAGGUAACCGUAAGGAGCCAUNG